GGGGUAUUCUCAGAGCAGGGGGCCUGAAGAAUGGCUCUUUUGUUUAUAAUAUGCCCAACAGGAAUCUGUUAUCACUGUGAUGAGGGGCACAAAACUUGUAGCCUCAGGCCUGGUGUGGUAGCUCAUGC
ensembl:snoRNA